GCCAUUGCCUGUUUUUUUCUGCUCCUAGUAUGGCCCCACUUGCUGUGGGCUUGGAGACAAGACAUCAAGGAGCCAGGCCCUUCAGGAUGUAGGUCGUGAGGGUGGAGCCCUCCUGAAUGCAAUCGAUGGCCUCGUGAGAAGAGAUUAUGAGGACUUGCAGGAAGACAGCUGUGGGCACACUGGGAGCAGAGCUCUCACUAGACGCCGCAUCUGCCAGCACUAUCAUCUUGGACUUUUAGCUUCUGGAUGUAUGAGAAGGUGGAAAAGAAGAAGGAAAAAGCCUAGAUCAAACUCCAGUCAAGAAAUGGAACCAAACUCAAGAUAUCCACCACACCUCCAACAAAAAUAACCUCUAUUACUCACCAAUUCCAGUAAUGAGAGAAGAGAUUGUGAACAGUGCAUGAUGUCAUUAUAUUCUGAAUUAAUUGGAACCAGAG